GUGGGGAAUUUUGGACAAUGGGGGAAACCCUGAUCCAGCGACGCCGCGUGAAGGAUGAAGGCCUUCGGGUUGUAAACUUCUUUUGGAGGGGACGAAUAAAUUGACGGUACCCUCAGAAAAAGCCACGGGUAACUACGUGCCAGCAGCCGCGGUAAUACGUAGGUGGCGAGCGUUACUCGGAAUUACUAGGCGUAAAGCGUAUGUAGGCGGUUGUAUAAGUCUAUGGUGAAAUUUCCUGGCUCAACUGGGAAGGGACAUAGAUACUGUAUGGCUUGAGUGUUGGAGGGGGAGACGGAAUUCCUGGUGUAGCGGUGAAAUGCGUAGAUAUCAGGAGGAACACCGAUGGCGAAAGCAGUCUCCUGGCCAAAUACUGACGCUGAGGUACGAAAGCUAGGGUAGCAAACAGGAUUAGAUACCCUAGUAGUCC
rnacentral:rRNA from 1 species